rnacentral:rRNA from 1 species
UACGUAGGGUGCGAGCGUUAAUCGGAAUUAUUGGGCGUAAAGAGCUCGUAGGCGGUUUGUCGCGUCUGCUGUGAAAACUGGAGGCUCAACCUCCAGCCUGCAGUGGGUACGGGCAAACUAGAGUGCGGUAGGGGAGAUUGGAAUUCCAGGUGUAGCGGUGAAAUGCGUAGAUAUCUGGAGGAACACCGGUGGCGAAGGCGGCGUCCUGGACCAACACUGACACUGAGGAGCGAAAGCCAGGGGAGCAAACGGG